rnacentral:lncRNA from 1 species
GAUGGAUGGAUAGAUAGAUAGAUAGAUAGAUAGAUAGAUAGAUAGAUAGAUAUGCAUGGAUAGAUAGAUAGAUAGAUAGAUAGAUAGACGGAUGGACGGACGGACAGAUAGAUAGAAAUGCAUGGGAUAGAUGAUAGAUAGAUAGAUAGAUAGAUAGAUAGAUAGAUAGAUAGAUAGAUAGAUAGAUAGAUAGAUAGAUAGAUAGAUAGAUAGAUAGAUAGAUAGAUAGAUAGAUAGAUAGAUAGAUAGAUAGAUAGAUAGAUAGAUAGAUAGAUAGAUAGAUAUGCAUGGAUAGAUGGAUGGAUGGAUGGAUGGAUGGACGGACGGACGGAUGGACGGACGGCUAGAUAGAUGUGUGUGAGUGUGUAGUAAUGAUCAGUGUGUUGUGUUGUGUUGUGUUGUGUUGUGUUGUGUGUGGUCAGAGUGGUGUGUGUUGUGUGCAGCUGUUGUGUGUCCUGCAGCAGGUCUCCUCCAGCAUCAGUGUGUGUGGUGUGUUUUCUCUGCUGAACCUGCGGGAGAAGCUGAUCUCUGAACAGGGGCUCCGAGACGGCGGCGUACAGACAUCACUGAACCGAGAGCUGCACACACUCUCUACGUUCUGUGCUGUAUGGAGGGUUUUAUGAGAAGGUUAAAGCCACAGACACACAGAAGGGGAAGACUGUGACAGGUAACCAUAUGACACACAUUUACAUAUACCUGCAGCACUUCUUUAACUAUGAAAAUAGGCCAAAGUUAUG